AUGAUUGCAGAUUCCGUGAAUCAUCGAGUCUUUGAACGCACAUUGCGCCCCCUGGUAUUCCGGGGGGCAUGCCUGUCCGAGCGUCAUUGCUGCCCAUCAAGCAUGGCUUGUGUGUUGGGUCGUCGUCCCCUCUCCGGGGGGGACGGGCCCCAAAGGCAGCGGCGGCACCGCGUCCGAUCCUCGAGCGUAUGGGGCUUUGUCACCCGCUCUGUAGGCCCGGCCGGCGCUUGCCGAACGCAAAUCAAUCUUUUCCAGGUUGACCUCGGAUCAGGUAGGGAUACCCGCUGAACUUAAGCAUAUCAAUAAGCGGAGGAAUCU
rnacentral:rRNA from 1 species